ensembl:lncRNA
CAUACAGCUUAUUAAGCUGUAGCUAUGCUAGGCUAACAUUCACUACACCCAAAACUGUAACCACAGUUCAAGCUUAAAACAUUGUAAUUCAAUAUCACACGCAAUAUUGGACAAGCUACUUGGAAAGUGAACUAAACUAGCAGCGGCUAUAUUAAGUGAAACUUCGCAAGAGGUUUGCAAGUAACGCCGCUACUCCCCCACACAGAAUACAGCUUAUAAAGCUCAUUAAGUAGCUAGGCUAGGCUAGGCUAAAGUUAAUUGUAGCCAAGACUUUAGUCAUGCUUAAAACUUAACACACACUUAAAACAUGUAACGUAACAUCAUAUGUUAAGGUAAGACAACAAACUUGGAAAGUGUAGUGAGCUAAGCUAGCAGUUGCUCUGUGCAAAUUGAAAGCUGUGUGAGCCCUGUAUUGAUCAAUAAAGGAGGUUUAAAAACAGUUUGAGAAAACAGCGCUGUUACCACAACGCUACUCAGAAUGUGGUUAAAUUAGUAGCGAUCCUCCUGCCCAACAUUGAAUAGGUUAUACGCUUAUUAAGCUGUAGCUAAGCUAGGCUAACAUUUACUACUCCUGAGACUUUAGGCACUUGAACUCUACCUUAAACUAAGUUCUAUAAAAUAACGUGAAUGGAUUUUGAGAAUUUUAUGUUGUUUUUCACACCUGAGAAAGUCUUUAGUUUUAUUUUAAAAAUCAUUUUACCUGUAAAACCUUUUUAGGGAUUAGUAUUUCAAAUUUUUAUGUGAAUGAUCUUAAGAAACAUUUUUGACAUUUCUUUUUUUCCACCAAAAAAUGUUCAAAGAUUUCCCAAAAAAUGUUGAAAAUGUGGACAUCAGAAGUUUCACUGUCAAAAUAUAUUUGAAGGAAGAGAAUUCCAAUAGUUCCUUAGAAGUUUCCCUUGAACAAUUUAUUUUAAAAAAAUCCCCCAAAUUUGGCAAGAAAAUUCUUGUAAAUAUUUUCAAAAAAUGAGUAAAAAUCUUCCAAACAAAAUCCUAAAAAUAUCUAAAGUGAUUCUUGGUAGCUUCCUGUAGCUUCAGCGGCCAUUCUGAUGUCCAGUCCUUGGUAAGAUGGCGGUGAUACGAUGACGUAUACUAGAGUAGUUCUGAUAUUUCCAUGUAAGCCUCGCCUCCAGACCCACCCAGACCCAGCCAGAGUUGCACUGAGAAUAAUUCUGAUUAGUCAGCAGGAAGUCAUUCUGAUUGGUCAGCUGCGAUGCCGUGACUGCGUGUCAUUGGUUGGUCAGUAUUUUGCUAACGUGGCAAAGUAUCGUGUGAGAAGCUGUGAAUAUAUUCGAGGUUAGACCUUGAAAAAAAACGUGUUUUUGUUCCAGUUUUCUUUCAGAUCAGACGUGUUCGGAGCUCCUCCCUCAGCUUGUGUUUGUUUAUUUUCUAUUAUUCAUGUUUCAACACAGAAACGAUUCAGCUCAAGGUUCAUUUAGGGUGAAAUAGACGAGUCGAGCAUCUAAUGGGGUGAGCUGCAACACAGGACCAGAACCAGACCAAACCAGGACCAGGACUCCUUCAGAUCCAGGAGCUGAUGUUGCUUUUUAUGUUCCACAUCCAUUUCAUGACUCAGUUUACUCGGUUUUCACUGUUUCUUUGUGUUCUCGAUAAAGUCGACUUGAAAGUUCAUCUGUUGAUAGUUACGUAGUUGCUACGGCUGAACAUUUUACUUUAAUUUAGAACAAAUAUUCAGUGGAGUUUUUUAUUUCUGGUUCAGUUUCUCGUCCCGGUUCUUGUUUUGGUCCUGGUUCUGGUUCGCUAUUAUUUCUCUGUGAUUUGUAAAUAUGUUCGAUGGUUUUAUAUUUUUACUGUAAAUGUCAUCAGAGUAUUUAUUUAGCCUGAAAUUAAUGUUGGUGCUAUUUGAUGUUUAAUUUGUUUGUUUUUUUAAAUUUCAUUUUGAUAAAAGAUGGCGCAGCGAGCCCCUCCCGCAUCCUCCAUCAAAAUACACUCAUGUAAAUUCAUCAAACUAUAAUGUAGAAACUCACCAGAACAAAAUAUCCUCAUGUCGAUCGAUCGUAAACUCAUAAAAGAUCGUUUCAGACAUAGAUGACUUUCUUUCUCACAUGUUUAGAUAUUUUUUAACAAGGUUUUGAAACACUGCCUCACUAUAUGCAGCCCCAAACAAAGAUUAAACUACAACUCCCAUGAUGCUUCAGUAGGAGGAGGAGGAGGGCGGGGCCACGGUGCUGUCCUCAGUUUUUAUUGUAUUUAAAUCUGUCGGUGAUAUUUUAAUCUCUGUAGGAGGAAACUUCUCACUAACACUUGUGAAACAUUUUACUCUGUGAAUGGACGACACUUCAAUAAAUCGCAUCAAACUUUUA